UAUUCACCAACACUCAUGUCGAGAACAGGAAUAUUAGAUUUCCUCCUUUUCUUGAAAUGUGGCCAGCUGCAGAGGUAAGCAUAUGCUGCUCCCUGGUGAAGUGUGGGUCAGCCGAUACACUCUCCAUGGACACGCAGAUAUAUCUGGGAGGUCCAGUGCAGGCCUGUGGCUACAAGAACAGGUCUGAAACAUAUGCCAGGAGGUGGGGCAUCAUGGGGAAGUUUUAACUGCCACAAAACAUAUUCAAGGGACACCAUCAUAGGACCUAAUCACAUCAGCCACACUAUCAGAGGCUCGUUCACCUGCACA